GGAUACUUAAAAUCAGACUUUUCUUAUCACAUUUUUCAGUUGCUUUAUUUUGUCUGUUAAAGAUUCAAUUUUUGGACCGUUUUUUUGUCUUAAUGUUGACAAUUUAUUAUUGUUAAAUAGUAACUAUUUCUCUACGAAACUGUCUUCAAUCCAUUAUUAAUCAGUUGUUUGCUCAGUUAAUUUCACAGUCAACGUGAUCUAACCAGUUAAUCUUUAUUGACAAUGGAUUAUUAAUCUGCUAAUGGUUCUUCAUCUCAUUGUGAUUCCAUGGGCUUACUUUUUGUGAUUCACUUAAUUUUUAACUUUGAAUUAAUUUGGUGUAUAAUUACAUGAUUGAAAUGGUAAACAUGCUUUGAAUUGAAUCAAUAGUUUCCUCCAACUCUUGAAAAGUCAAUCUUGAGACAUUGAUAAACAUUCCUUGAUUCUUAGCUGCUAAUGUUUAUGUGCUUCAAAGUGAUUGAUAGAUUCAAUUGAUGGAUUCUGCCUUUGAUUUUCGUUUUUUUUCAAUUUUAUAUUCUGUGCAACUUUUAAACAUUUUUCAAGUAAAUAACAAUAUUGAAAGAGUAACAUUGGAUGUUAUUUGAAUCGACAUUAUUGUUGACUGAGUUAACUUGAUUCAAAGUAUUGAUAAUAUUGACAAUGAAUGAUUAAUUCCACGGUGAAGAAGAAAACGAGAAAAGAAGAUGAUGAAGAUUGUGAUUUGAAAAAUAAAUGAUAGGAAUAGUUUAAGAGGAAAGUGAAAAGAUGAAAGUGAAUAAAAAAGAAGUUCAAUUUGAAUGGAACAUUUAAUUCUAUUUUUAAAAGCAUGUACGGCUGAUGAUGGUAAUGAAGAUAAAAAUACAUUGGCAAAGUUAGAAUAAGAAGAAUCUUCACUGAGUAGGAAUUUGAAUAAUGAUAAUAGCAAUAACAAUAAUAAUGAUAAUAAUAAUGCAAAUGCAUGAAAUAUUAAAUUGAAGUUUUAAAGAAGAAAAAAAGUGUCAACAAUUGAAACGAAUCACCAAUUACCAUGAGAAGAGAAGCUUUUUGAUUGGCAAAAAGCAACGAAAUUGAAUUUACAGUAUGUUUACCUAAAAUUAUGGAACUAACGGAAUCUGAAGACUCGUGGGGUCUCAACUCAUCCAACGGAAGCUCUAUUCCAAGCAUUGAUUAUCUGAUGAAAGCUAAUGUGAAUAAUGAAGGAUGGCAUGAAAAAGAUACAUUUUCAGACAGUCUUUCAACAAUUUUCUCAAUGUGACACUUGAACACUUUUGGUGGUUUGAACCCUUGAAAUGGGCUCAUGUCUAAAUUGUUGCUUGAUCUUGAACCAUUUCCACCUUGGAUUCAAUUCAUUUGGCAACGCAAGUCUUAAUUUUAUCAUCUUGAGUUUAAUUACAAGCAAAUUUGGAUUAAUACUUAACGUGUCAAGUAUAAUCAGCAAUGAAUGCUUGCUAAAAGUUAAGUAUGUUUUAAUGGCACUCACCUGGAGACGAUAAAAUGCUCGACUUUUAGGCCCACGAUUGAUGAUCUCUUCUCUGGCCAUGUGUUCAAUAUCCUCCAUUUGUGCAUCCGGAUGUUUCUU